UUGACCAGCCUUGGCAUUGCCCUCCGGCUCUCCAGGGGAAGAGCUGCAGUUCUGCUCUUGCAACACAAGGAGCAGACUGGAGAAUUUAGAUCUGCGUCACAGAGCUCAGAGAGAGAGAGAGGGGAGAGAGAGAGAGAGAGAGCGCGCGAGAGAGAGAGAGAGCGCUCCGUCGAUAGGUCUGCUAGCAACAGCCGUGCUGCAGCAGAGAGAGAGAGAGAAAUCAAGAAACAAGUCAUAGCAACACCGGGCACCAGGUUCUGCCAGCUCACUUGCCAAGCGUUCAGAAAUCUGUCGGGGGCUAGAGGCCUCUGGGUAGCCCGGGCUAAGGAGAUGACACACAAGACCGAGAUUUGGGUCUGCGCAGGCGACGAUGGGUGGUCCGACGGGCUUCAGGACUUGAUGGCGUAACCCCCUUCUUCCCCCACUGUCAGCUGCUCAAGCCUGACCGGGGUAGAGGCUAGAGGAGCAAGCUGUCCCCAGCGUCCCACCUGACCUACCAGCCUUUGCCCCCGUUUCCUUCUUUUGAACAGACAGACAGACUGGUUUUCCAGGUUGUUUGGGUAUCCGCGUCUGUCUGUCCAUCCACGUCGUCGUUCUUAGGUGGCAGGUAGGAAGUGAGGAGGAGAGGUGCUGGGAGGAAGGUGGAAAGCCAUAGCUUUCCAGGGGUUGCCUUAUUGAAAUGUUCAGCCUCGGGGCAGCUGGGCUGGUGGGGAGCCGGUGGGCAGGAUGGGGCGUGGGUUGGGAGAAGUGGGGUAAAGCUGGUAGGUUUGUCACUGCGUAGUUGGGAAAAGUGGGGAAUGGUGACGCAGUCACUGUUGCAUCUUGUUAGGAGCUCCAAGGGGGACAGGUAGUGAGGCUCCCGGCAUCUGUAGGGCCAGCUGAGAGGGGUUAGGGAUGAGCUGAGAAGGGAAGCUAGCAUUUAGAGAUUAAAUGUCAUCCUUUUGGCGUUGGAAAGUUGUUUACCUUGCGCUCUCUGUGUCUCCAUGUUGGCACCCUUCCAGUUCACAUGUGAUGGCCUUCCUUGUACUGCUGCAUCAUUAACUAAGUGACUGAGCUGGCCUUCCAUUGGCCAGGGGAGGGCUCUCACUCCAGACAUUUCCUCUGAUUGGUGGGUGGGCCAAUGGCAGGUGAAAACCUUUUUUUGAUUGGCUGAGGGCAGGGUAUCAAAUCUGAAUUUGCAUUUCACUUGCUUAAAGGGGAGGGGGGGAGAAGCCCAGCAGCUUUCUAAAAUCUGUUUAGGGGUGUGCGUAUGCUCCUGUGUCUGUGCCUGCUUUUGACUGACCAGGUGAAGCCUCUUCCUAUGCCUUUUUUAUUUCAAGCACUCAGAGGAAGAGGAGCUCCGGGUUCCCCAAACUUUUUUUUUUUUUUUUUUUGGAGUAGGAAGGGUUGGAGAGAUGGGUGCGCAGAGGGUUGACCAAACUGGAAGGAAGUAUUUGUCCUUUAGUUUGGUGUCGGAAAAGGGAAUUUUCCAAUCAGCCACACCUCGGUGUUGCGGCACAAUAAUUCUUGGCUCCCCUGGAAACGCACGGGGCAAGGUAGGACAGAUCUGCUGCUGCUGACACUGCCACCACCAUGGGCUUCCUGCUGCCUCUGGGCUGCUCCCUGGGGACGAGAGAUUUGCAUUGACGGGGCUGUCCAGAGCUGAGCCCAGUGUGGGAAAGACCUGCCUUCUGGAAGCUGCUGCUCCUUGGUCUUGGAAAGGUGCCACGUCAGGCUGUUCCACGGACCUUCUUUCAUUUACUGCUUUCCACAACCCUCCGAGGAGAGUCCCGUGACUGAGAACUCAGAGGAGUUGAGCUCCAUGAGUCGGUGACAGCCUCUUGGAGACUCAGGCUAAGCUGGGGACAGAGCUGGUGUGCAGAAGACAGCCAUCAUACCACCUAAUAGAAUGGCCCGCUUGCAUUUAUUUGGAACAAAAAAAGGAGAUGCCUGGCAGCCUGGCUUUCUGCAGCUAAGUAUUCGUCUGCAUUCUGGUUUUCCGUCACACAUCGGAAGCGAUAGAUGUUCAUUGAACCCACCCAGCUGUCGUGACUUCUCCUUUCCCCGCGCACCCCUGCCCCUGAUCCUCCAGCAAAGAUUGGAUUUUCUGGUGCGGCUGGAGAGCUGCAGAGAGGCUAGAUCGCAGUGUCCAGCCCCCGCACAUCGCCCUCACAUUCAGGAGAAGUCGAUUUUCCCUAAAGCGGAGCCUAAAGCCCAUGUCCCUCAGUGCGGUGUUAUUAAUGGGCCGACGGGAAGGGCCCUGCUUGCCCUCACUGCCCCCAGCGGGGAGGUGAGGCUCUCGGCUGGCUGGCUGGGGGAGGACGGUCCUUGCCAGCAUCUAGCAUGGUUCUCUGCCAAGUUCUAGCUCCAAAUCUCUAGGCCGCUAGGAACCUAGACUAUAUAUAGCAUUGUGCUAAGCAAUUCUUAUCGGACAUGUCUGCCCUCCCCUGCGGGAGAGGAGCCCUUCUCCCAGGGAACCGGAACCUAGAGAGUGUGAGCCUUCUCCAAGGGGUCUUUCGUUCCAGGAAGGGCUGUGUGUGUGUGUGUUGUGUGUGUGCGUGUGCGUGUGUGUGUGCGCGCGUGGUUGUGUCUGCUUCAGGGCUGCCAAGCUUUCUUUCCUUUUCCCUGUUUCAGAUGCUGGGAGAUCGGAAGGUCUGAUUGGGAUGAGGGCCAGGAGGUUCUUGGUGUGCGAUGUGGCCCAUGGCGCCCACCAGCCUCCCGCAUGUCUUCUUGGUUUCCUGUUUGCCUUCUUUGCCCAAGGAGGUCUUCUGACCUCUUGAGCUUCUUUUGGAUCUCCUGUCUUCCCUGCCCUCCUCUACCUCUUCCUCCUCCUUCCUUUGAUUCUCUUUCGGGUAUGUGACGGCAGACUGGGCUACGGGCAUCCGGGAGCUGUGUCUGCUCGCCGCCCUCACCACCGCCCCCUCCCCCCUCCCCCCCACCAGUUUGGGGUUUCUGGAAAUCUGGCUUUAGUCAGCCGUCCUCUGGAGGAAUUGGGUGGUGACUGAGCGUUUCGUGCUGGGUGGUACGGGGCAGAGCAGGCUGGAUAUUUGCCUCCUCCCUCCCGUAGGUGCUGUCGAGCCACCGAUUUUCUGUGGUUCCGCGACCCCGAGUGCUGACUGAUGUGACAGGUUCCGGUCUUGUCAGUGAAUCAUCGCCAAGCUGCUUAUUGGAACCCAGAUGCAGCAAGAAAAUGGGAUUUAACCCCUUCCCGGCCUCUCAGGAGCCUGGAAACCAGCAUCCCGGGUAGCAGGAAGACCUGAUCUGGGCUCUGCUUCCGGCACCCCUCCCCCGCGCCGGCUGGAGCUUGCGUCAGUCAUGUAAGUAGCCGUGACUCAGCACCCAGCCUGGUCGGGAGGGAGGCAGAAGACGCCUCCCAGGAACCUUCCCAGCAUUCUGGAUUUGAACACAUGGUGGUAGCUGAACACACUGAACGAGCUGGCGGCCUUCGGUUCCUGGGGGUGCGUGUCUGUCCGUUCCGCGGAUUUGCUUAUAGGUCUCAUAAACCGGGGUUCCUCUCCUUCCCGUUCUCAUCCCGUGUUAUUUUUUGGACACCAUGCCUGGCAUAGGAUUUUUAGGACUUUAAAAGGCACAGACGGCAUCAUUUCUAGAACGCAGCAGAAGCUCUCUUUGCAGUCUCCAGACUGCCCUUUAAACCGAUGGCCCAUGAAUCAUCUUUAACCCUCAGAUGUUUUUGUUUGACUUACAGAGUUUUCGUUGUUUUUGUUUGUUUGUUUGUUUGUUUGUUUGUUUAACGUGUCCGAUUCAGACAUGCUUUUAGACAAAACACAGCCUCUCCAGGUCACUGGACUUCUGCUGCACGAGGUCUCUGCCUCUCUGUCCUGUUUCCCACCCCAGCCCUCAAGCAUUUGAAUGCACGGAGACUGGUCUGCAUGAGCCCUCCCUCGUUUUGGAAAAACUGGGGCCCAUUCCAGGGAGGUGCGGGUCCCCCGUUCUCAAGUCUGGGCCGCGCAGGAAUUAAAGCCCCUGUGUUCUGAUUCACUGUGUGGUGACCUUUCCUCCACCCUCGGUCGCUGCCCGGGCAGAGGAGUGUCUAGGCAUGAGGGGGUGGAAAUCCCUCCAAAUAGAACGUCUGCACAGAAAUGGACGGAGGCUGCACCGUGCUUCCCAGACCUUCUCCCUGCGUGGUGGCGUACCCAGCUCUCUGGCUGGGCGUUUGCCUUCCCCGACAGCGCACCAGACUCUUCCCGCUGGCCCAUGUGCGUGGGACUGUUGGGCCAGGCUGGGACGAUCACACCGUCCGCCUUUGACAGCAGAGCCCUAGCAGGCUGGGGCCUCCAGCCCCCGUUAGACCACCUGGCCCCAUCUAACAAGGGAACAGAAACACCAGCUAGCUUCAGGGCCGAUGCUCCCUGGGUAGCGGGAGAGACUGUAAUGAAUCCCCCUGAUGACCACGUGACGUACGUGCGUCCUGAAGGACAAGAACUAGGUGCUGUGAGAGGGCGUAACCCAACACCUGGCUCACCUGGGGAAAGCUUCAGGCGACCUGCGUCACCUGGGAGAGGGUUGAUGGGGUGGUAGCCCUGGGAGAGUGGACGACAGAGAAUGUUCCAGAAAGAGGGAAUGGUGUACGCAGAGGCCUGCUAGGGGAGGAAGGAGGCUGUCUGGAUCACUGAAAGACACCUGUGUGACAAUACCUUGGGAAAGGUUUUGUGGAUACUGGCAGUCGGGGGUUACUAAGGAGGAAGAGUUCGGCUGGAGUAAGAAGCAAAAAAGCUGAGAAGUAGCAAAGGUAGAUCUCCAACCCCCUCGUUUUAUAGGACCCCACAGAAAUGACUCUCAUUUACCACUUACUUCCUGACCUUAAAACCCUGGAAGUUAACCUGUGUCGUGGGGCCCAGCUGUUGACUGCAGGUGCCCUGUGUCAGAGCUGCUGCCCAGCUCCUCCCUCAGUGGCUGGGGCCUCGCAGAGCCCCUGGGCUCGGAGCCCAGUGCUGGGGUCAGAAUCCAGAGUCCAGCACAGCCAUUGCUGGUGGUUCAUCUCCAACGCCUCCCCCAACCGCAGCUAUGCCCUAGGAGAGCACAGAGGCUCCAGAGGGGCAGGAGGAGUGGGCGAGCCAGCUGGGGGCACCGGGCCCCUCACGGGACCAGCUGGGCUCCCAUCUCCACCGGGUUAAACCUGUUGUGCAGUCAGUCACAUCCACGGCCACGCAGAACCCUUGCCUAGGACUCCCCCCACCCCACCCUUGCUCACAAUUGAGUUCAAGAACAGAAUGAGAUGAUAGACCAGCCGUGGAGCAGGUGCAAUGGACAGAGGGGCAGGAACACACACUCUGGAGUUAGACUUGGGGUCUCUGUACCACGUAGUAGUCACGUGACCGUGGCGAGUCACCGAACUACAUGAAGGAGCAGUUUCUCCUGCAGGCGCAAGAAUACUACUUGCCUCACAAGACCGACCCAAUUACAAAGCACACCUCAGUGUUCACAUUUUAUUUCCUUCUCCUGCCUGCAGCGGCACAUGCUGUUAUUUCCGGGAGCCACAAUAAAUACAGGCCUGGAUCUGGAAGCCUUCAGAGCUGGUAGACAGCCUGAAAGAUCCAGAUUCUACUCUGUCUCCUCUUUCCUUAGUUGUGGCAUCCCAGGAGAUACAGACCUGUUUUCUCUGCUUCCGAUGACCAACACAAAAGCAAACAAACAAACAAACAAAAAACCCGACACAUUUAGGAGAUGGGAAAUCUGAUUUGAACACAGGAUGCAAAUCUUAUUUUCAGACACAUUUUGAAAACAACACAAAACUCGGUCCUUGUGUUAGAGGAUUAUCUACUUAACACCGCUUCAGGACACGACAUUUGUGUGUGUGUGUCACAGCAGAGGUGAAACAAAGAUUGCUAAUGUUCUGACCCUUACUUGAGGCUGGGAAGGUGGACCCCAGGCUCUUCCUGAAUAGGGCGCGUCAGGAGUUGCCCCCAAGCAGGUGAAACUCACCUGGCUCGAACCUCCUAGGCAGAUAGGACGCUUGUUUCCUGAUGACGUGACAUAGUAUCAGAAGACACUGCGUGCUGUGAAAUGUUUUCGAGAGCAGGGGGCGAUGCUAAUGAAAACGUUCACACAUUUUCAUAAUAGCUCUGGGAUACUUCCCUUCAUCACAUGUGUAAUAAACUGUUAGGACUGGUCGUCCAGGGUCAA